AAACAUGAAAUAUAAAAUGUAUUGUAACAGUAGGUGUAGCUCAUCAAAUGGCUAAUGAAUGUGCUUUUCUGUGUGUGUGUGUGUGUGUGUGUGUGUGUGUGUGUGUGUGUGUGUGUGUUAUGGUCGGUGUUUGUUUGCCAGUGGGAGUCCGUUUGCUGCUGUAACUCUGGAUGAUGGCAGGAUGGUGAUUCUGGGACAGGGGAACAAUGCUUACAUAUUCCCAGGUGUGGCUCUGGCAGUAAUUCUGAGUGGUGUUAGACACAUCAGUGAUACGGUGUUCCUCGAGGCUAGAUAUUAGCAGAGCAGUUGACGGAUGAGGAACUGAAUCAGAAUCAGGGUCGUCUCUACCCUCCUCUUUCCAACAUUAGGGAGGUUUCUUUACAGAUGGCUGUGAGGAUAAGAUUUGUGUUUAUACAUACACACAAUGUGGUGGAGUUUCUGUACAGUAAAGGAAUGGCAUUUCGGUACCCAGAGCCACUGGAUAAGGAGGCGUAUGUGAGAUCCAUUGUGUGGAACACGGAGUACGAUUCCUUCCUCCCAGACAUCUACGAACGGGCUGGAGUGUCCCAUAGUCCUAUAGUGGAGUAAUCAUACACCCUAUAGCAUACACCUGAAACAGUCACACCCUUCAUUUACAGCUGUGUAAUGUUUAACUAUCACACAUCCCCAUGGGGAGUGAUUCCUAAACUCCUUCUGCUAAUGUAAAUGUACAGUGUUGCUAUUAAUAAAACACUCCACGUGUG